rnacentral:pre_miRNA from 16 species
UUCCCCACUCCCUGAGACCCUAACUUGUGAUUGGUUGUUUCGCACAGGUUAGAUUCUCAGGUCAUGGGUAGU